rnacentral:RNase_P_RNA from 1 species
UCAGACAGCCGGAUGGUCGCCAGCGCCAGGGCGCUGGAGGAAAGUCCGGGCUCCACGGGAACACGGUGCCGGGUAACGCCCGGCGGGGGCGACCCCAGGGAAAGUGCCACAGAAAGCAGACCGCCCGUCGCUGCGCGGCGGGCAAGGGUGAAAGGGUGCGGCAAGAGCGCACCGCGUCGCCGGCAACGGGGACGGCACGGUAAACCCCACCGGGAGCAAGACCAAGAAGGGACGACCGGUCGGCUCCGCCAGGAGGCCGGCAGACGGGUUUCCGCGUUGUCGUCCGGGUAGGUCGCGCGAGGCGGCUGGCAACAGUCGUCCCAGAGGAAUGGCCAUCCAGCCCGGACACACCCUGUCCGGGUGGACAGAACCCGGCUUACAGGCUGUCUGAUCAC